rnacentral:pre_miRNA from 1 species
GUAGUAUUCCCUCCGUCCCAAAAUUCUUGUCUUACAUUUGUUUAGAUACAGAUGUAUUUAACACUAAAAUGUAACUAGAUACAUCCGUAUUUAGACAAAUUUAAGACAAGAAUUUUGGGACGGAGGGAGUACAAA